ACAAGGGGAAAAAGUAAAAAUCGUUUCUGCUUGUAGAAAAAACGAUUUUUAUUUCCCCGCUCACACAUGAGCACGUAGUGAUUUUCCAAAGAAAAUCAUUGGAAUGCGAAUGUGCGUAGAAUUGCGCGAGUUGCCACAAGCAAUGGAGCAAUUCGUAU
rnacentral:sRNA from 1 species